GGAUGUGAGGGCAAUCUGGCUGUGACAUCUGUCACCCCGUUUAUCGCCAGGGUUGAUUCAGCUGAUCUGGCUGGCUAGGCAGCUGUUGCCUUCCUCCCUCAUUGCUCCAUGUGCAUCCCUCCCGAAGCUGUGCGUUGGGUCGAAGAGGACGUCCUUCCCCGAAUAGAGGAGGACCGGUCUUCAGUCAAGGGUAUCCGAGUAGAUGCACUUCCCUGCUAGAACCUCCAAACAAGCUCUCAAAACCCACAGAUGAUUAAACACACUUAUCCAAACACUCACUGUAUGAUCUACCAACUAUGU
ensembl:misc_RNA 7SK 7SK RNA